UUUUAGCCCACUCUUCCAGUUAACCCACCUCUUUCUAGGUUUUAUUUUUCUCUGUGCUAUAUUGAGCUUUCCCUCUGUUGCAUCAUCUUCCUCUUCGUUUGUUGGGUCCUUUUGCUAUUGAAUAGAGAAGAAAUUUUGUCGGUGGCAAAGCUAGUAAUAUUGUUAAGGGUGUUCAAAGAGUGGUCUUCCAUCUGCAAUACUCAACAUUAUUACCGAUUUAAGUGAUUUAGAUGUUGCAAAUCCUACAAGUUUUAUGAAUGACAUCGGGGAUGAACGUGCUUAAACCAACACUACUUACAAUAUGAUUCAUGUCAUGCACAAGCUAUCGGAGGAAUAUUUACUUGUUAAGUUACUAGUAGAUUAGUACUACUUAAUGAUAUUUCUUAAAUUAUGUUUUUAUUCAUUUCGUAAAUUAAGACAUCCUAUGUAGGAAUUUUUAGUUUUUAAAAUUUCAAAUAUCUAGUGCAUCAGUUCUAAGUAUUGACGUUUGAUACUAUUAUAUAUAUAUAUAUAUAUAU